rnacentral:lncRNA from 1 species
UUUUUUUUUUUUUUUGUCUUUUUAGGGCCAUACCCGCGGCAUAUGGAGGUUCCCAGGCUACGGGUCUAAUUGGAGCAACACCCACCGGCCUACACCACAGCCACAGCAACGCAGUAUCCGAGCCACGUCUGUGACCUACACCACAGCUCACGGCAAUGCUAGAUCCUUAACCCACUGAGCAAGGCCAGGGAUCGACCCUGCAACCUCACGGUUCCUUCCUAGUUCGAUUCGUUAACCACUGAGCCAUGACGGGAACUCCCAAAAACUUCAGCUUUUAAAGAAACACUAAUAAGAGAAUAAAAAGACCUGACAUACUGGCAGCGAAAGUUUCAUCGGAUAAAGGACUUGCAUAUAGAGUCUAUCAAGAAUUCUCCAAACUCAACAAUAAGGAACUUCUUCAACCCAGUUCAAGAGUAGCAAAGCAGACGCUGUACCAAAGAAGAUACAGAGACGUUAAAUAAAGUCAGAAAAGUGUGCUUAGCAUCUUCAGUUUUAUGAACGUUAAAACCACAAUGACACACACACACCCCACCUGUUAGAAUGGUUAAAAUGAGAGACCGUGACCAUGGCGUGUGUUGGCAGGGACGUGGAGGAACUGAAACUCCCGCACUGCUGACGGGACCGUCCAACGGCACGGUCACUUUAGAAAACACUUGGGCAGUUUCGGAAGAAGUUAAAUAUCACGCCGACCCUCCAAUUCAGGCAUUCCGCUCCCAGACAUCUAGCCGCGAGAAACAACAGCACACAAACACUUGUACCUAAGUGUUCACAAUGGCUUUGUUUGUUGAUCAUCAAAAACUGGAAACCACCCAAACGCCCAUGGACAAGAGACCCGAAAAAACGGCAGGCGAUCCACUCGACGGACUGCGGCUUCGCAAUUCAAGGGAGCAGCCCACUCACAGACGUCCAGGACUGAGAGUAAUUCUUGAAAUAAUUACGCAGAGAGAAGGAAGCGCGACGCAUCCAGUUCUCAGGGGGUGAGGGAUACGUUUAUUCUGACUGUGGGGAUGGUUUCAGAGGUGUACACUUAUGCUAAAACACACCACAUCUUUUUUUUUUCUUUUUUUGUCAUUUUAGGGCUGCACCUGUGGCCUAUGGAGGUUCCUAGGGUAGGGGCCAAACCGGAGUCAUAGCUGCCAGCCUACGCCACAGCCACGCCAGAUCUGAGCCGCAUUCAUGCUCUACACUGUAUCCUUUAACCCACUGAGCGAGGCCAGGGAUCAAACCCGCAUUCUCAUGGAUACUAGUCGUAUUCUUUUUUUUUUUCUUUUUAGGGCUGCAGGUGUGGCAUGUGAAGUUCCCAGGCUAGGGUUCAAAUCGGAGCUGCAGCUGCUGGCCUACACCACAGCCAAAGGCACAGGGGAUCCAAGCAGCGUCUGCGACGUACACCACGGCUCAUGGCAACGCCAGAUCCUUAACCCACUGAGCGAGGCCAGGGAUCAAACCUGCGACCUCAUGGAUCCUAGUCAGGUUUGUUACUGCUGAGCCACAACGAGAACUCCACAUUUAACCCUUUCUGUGGAUUACGUAUUAACUGUGCCUCAAUAAAGCUAUUGAGAAGAGAAGACUGUUGGAAAGGUUACGUGCCACAGCCUGAGAAAGGAGUACAAACAGCAGCGCUGGUAGGAAUGGUGAGACCAGCUGUAAGAAAACAGACUCAAGGCACGAGAUGUGGCUGGGAAGGUGAGGGACACGGAGUUUAAGUGCAAGAUGCGGAGACUGGCUGACAGGAGGGGAGACAGUACCAUCGGCAGCAGACGGGCGACC